rnacentral:rRNA from 1 species
UACGGAGGGGGCUAGCGUUGUUCGGAAUUACUGGGCGUAAAGCGCACGUAGGCGGCUUGGUAAGUUAGAGGUGAAAGCCUGGAGCUCAACUCCAGAAUUGCCUUUAAGACUGCCGAGCUAGCAGGUGAGAGAGGUGAGUGGAAUUCCGAGUGUAGAGGUGAAAUUCGUAGAUAUUCGGAAGAACACCGGUGGCGAAGGCGGCUCACUGGCUCAUACUGGACGCUGAGGUGCGAAAGCGUGGGGAGCAAACAGG